AUGUUGGGUAAAUUAGGUUAAAUGGCAUGCAUUACGAUAAGGGAAAUUACGCGUUCUUGGGAUGACAAAAGUGAGUGCACAAAUAUCAUAUAGCGGUGCAUAAUCAUCACAUACCACGUAAAGUAUUGACAUACAGUGGAAAAAGGAAAUAUUGCUUCACCGAGACAUCAUAAUGAGUCCAUUACAUAAUAGGAUAUGUUUUAGCUAGCGAAGCUUCUUCUCAUCCCACUCUAAAGGAUCAGAGAGAGUUAAGGAUGAAUGGAGAAGGGUUUGUGUAAAGUAAUAUUGUGCUGAGUAAAGAGAUAUAGGGAGAGAGUUGAUAAUACAAAAAGAUGGGGGUUGCAAGUUGGUGAUUUGACUUAUCUCUCAAAGAAAAGAAAGAACUUUAAUAUCCAAUGGCCUUAGUUGGCAGCAUAAAGAAAAUUUGAUACUUUCGAUAGCUCUAAAAAUAAAAAACAAAAACAAAGAAAUUUAAACAAAAC